CAUGUGUUUCUUUAUUUCAUUGCUCCAGGUGUGUCAUAUUCACUCAUCAUUGACUGAUGACCCCUGAACAGAUUUCCGGCCCUUCUUCAUACAGCUUGUCUUCCACCUUCACAGUCAUGCUGUGUCAUAUUCACUCAUCAUUGACUGAUGACCCCUGAACAGAUUUCCGGCCCUUCUUCAUACACCUUGUCUUCCACCUUCACAGUCAUGGCACAACACUCAGGAGUGCUGUGAGUUGCAUGACACCUGCAGAGGCUCCAUACUACAGACUACUACUACUCGGUACUACAGAAACCGGAUCACUUGACAAGCCUGUGUCCUGUUUUGGCCUUCCACACUCUGUAGGAUUGCAUAGGCUCCAUUUCUUCUCCCACAUCACCAUUCCAAAACAACUCCAGAUGUUUCGUUUGUAUUAUGGCCAGUUUCUUUACAUCUGUUACACUACCUGUGUUUUGCACCCAAAACUGGACUGCUCUAUCUGUUUCUUGUUUUUUAUCAUUAUCACUUGCAUUGCUGUAAAUAUGUUCCAUUAGCUCAGUUUUGCAACUAUGAAGUGUACAGUUUUGUUGUUGUAUUACUGUUACGCUGAGCAAAAAGAAACCUCAAACCUUACUCUUAGGCCUAUGUGAAUUCUUCAUGCGUGUCGUGCUCUGUCAACAGUUUGAUGCUUACAAAGCAUUCCAAGUGUCUGUAUGAUGUUCUACCAUUAUGCUAUGCCUUCACACAGUUAAUAACAAAAGGUAUACAGUAUUAAAAAUGCAUAUUCACACUA